rnacentral:misc_RNA from 1 species
GAUAAGAUUACCAAAGAGACCUCAUUCAACUAAAAGAUGCAAAAAUCUAGAAAUUUCCAAAUUUGGACAGAAAUAAUGAAAAAUCUAGAAAAAAAAAAAUAGAAAAUAAAUCAUAAAAAAUUCCACAAAAUUUAUUACAUAACCCUAACAUGUCAAACUAAAACAUGGAAAAAAGAAACUUGCAGUUUGAGUUCAUAUUGUGUAUGAAUAAAAUGGUAAAAUACAACAUAAAUGCAAUUAACUUGAUUCCGAAUAGUAAAAUUGAAAAUAUAUUAAAAAUAGCAAAACCAUGUAAAGGGGUAUGAAAUUUUAUGUCCUGAAAGCUAACAAGGCAUAUGUAGUUGUGGAAGAAAAGAAACCAAUGAAAACCAAUAUGGAUUUGCAUAAAAACAUCAAACAAGACACAAUUUCACAAGUAUAACAUAUCUGAC